UAUAUCGAAAUAACAUUCUACCAACAUUCUCUUCUCCUCUUUCUCUUCGAUUGCUCCUUCAACUGUUCUUGCGCAAAUUAAAGUGGCAUGCAGAAGUAGGAGAAGUUUUUUCCAAAGAAAAUAAACCAAGAAAAAUGCCAGCGCACACACUCUCACAGGAGUACAACUCCAGAGAAAGAAGCGUACGCGGAGGAGCAGUCCGAAGAGAGAAAAGUGUGGAGAGUGUGGAGACAGGAACAGUACCGCCUCGCUUUCGUGUUGGCAGAAACUAAAAAGUAGCAGCAAAACAAGAUGAUGAGUCUAAGUGGUUAAAUAAGUUGAAAAGUCAAAACUGGACGAUGCGUUCGGUCUCGGGUCCUCGUACGGGGGGGUUUCAGGGCAGCGGAGAGCGUUACUUCAACCAGCUGUUCAGCUGUUCGGAAAGUUGUGUGUAAGUUUUGCGCCUCGAUGUUGUUGCUGUUAGUUCUCCAUUUGCUGGGAAAUAGAGAAAGAGAGA